rnacentral:rRNA from 1 species
GACGAACGCUGGCGGCGUGCUUAACACAUGCAAGUCGUACGGUAAGGCCCUUUCGGGGGUACACGAGUGGCGAACGGGUGAGUAACACGUGAGUAACCUGCCCACAACUUUGGGAUAACGCUAGGAAACUGGUGCUAAUACUGGAUAUGUGCCCCUGCUGCAUGGUGGGGGUUGGAAAGCUCCGGCGGUUGUGGAUGGACUCGCGGCCUAUCAGCUUGUUGGUGGGGUAGUGGCCUACCAAGGCGGCGACGGGUAGCCGGCCUGAGAGGGUGACCGGCCACAUUGGGACUGAGAUACGGCCCAGACUCCUACGGGAGGCAGCAGGGGGGAAUAUUGCACAAUGGGCGCAAGCCUGAUGCAGCAACGCCGCGUGCGGGAUGACGGCCUUCGGGUUGUAAACCGCUUUCAGCAGGGACGAAGCUUUUUGUGACGGUACCUGCAGAAGAAGCACCGGCUAACUACGUG